GCCAUGCAUCCUAGUCAACACUUUUCUUAUUUUGUCUUCCUUUAAUAGGUAUGCUCCCUCCCUCGGGGUGUGGGCGCUACAAAUUUGGCGACCUUGCCAGGACGGCCAUCGUCGAAGAGACACGAGGACGAUGUGCUGUCCUAUGACACGAACAGUUGGAUCAAUCGAAAGAGAAGAGCAGCGAGCAAACGAUACAGGACCAGAAGACAGAGUGACGGAGAGAACCUGAUUUGACAAUGACAUUGGCUCAGCAUCACAGAAAAUGGGACGAGCUACAGAGAAGAGAAAAGGCUACCGUGCAGUACGCAGCAGGGUGCUACAGCAAGGGGAUAGGGCCCUGGUGCGAAGUCUGGCCCCUCCAGAUGGCGGAGCAGUGAGUGGAGUCAAGGAUGUCCAGGGGUUCUCCAAGCCGCCAUCCUCAACAGCCCAGCCUCCAGCACCUUUCUAGUACCGGUAUGACCCACCAUUCUACCCUCAUCAAAUGCCUCUACAGAUGCAGACGCCGAUAGCCCACGAGCAACUAACCCUCUACCAACGUCAGAUGACAGAAGACCAGCUGAAAUUUUCCUAGCGAGCGAGUCAAUCAUUGAGGAAUGCCUCAAACAGAUUCUUUUUUUUUUACAGUAGAUGCAUCGAUGUAUAGAAUCAUGUGCUAGCUGUUUAGUAAACCAGAAAUACGAGUAAUGAGAAGUAGUAAGAUGAAACAAGUUGUAAAUCGUUUCAUGAAUUGUGGUGUAAUAUAAGGAAACAAGCGAUGACACUCGAUAGUGAUCAAUUGAUCUUUGUGAUAAAGUCUUCGGAAUGAGUCUCGAGCUUUCCAAGAAACCUUCACCGUAUGUCAGGCGCGCCCGUAGAAUGGGUUAAUGUUUCGCAAAGUUUAUUUGUAUGGAAGAAAAAGCCACGUAAUUCUGAUAUGAUAUUAUGAUAUGUAAUUCUGAGGUUCCAAGUACCUAUUAGGUUUCGCUAUAACAAGUUGCAACAAGUGUAUAUGAACUCGAUGUACUACAUGUAUUUCGCAGAGGAAUUGGAGCUCGAUGAUCUGGGAUUGUGAACGUAGCAAGGAUAUGGACUAUAAAUAAUCAUGAACUUUGGUGAUAAGUCUCACCUCCCUGAUCUGUCCUAAGUUCAUGACGACAUUGAACAAGAACUAUAUGAACGUUAGAAUUGUUAUACUAUAAUGAUGAAUUGAUGUAAAUGUUUGAAAGUUGAAAUGUCCAGGAGACAUUUAUUUUUGGAGGGGAAGGUGUGGAGCCCCACAGAAUACCCCCCCCCCCUAUUUUUUUGUAUAUCUGUGACUAUGUAUGUAUGACACAAGUAUAUUUCUAGCCCCCAUAUAGUCCCUCCUCUUAGUUAAUUAGGUACCCCCUCCUGCGAGAGUGGCCUCACCCACAACUAACCUAAACACACCAGCUGGGAUACCAGGAGUGGCUUCUCACUUUGUUUUGCCAUGCAUCCUAGUCAACACCUUUCUUAUUUUGUCUUCCUUUAAUAGGUAAGAAAGAAUCUUAUAUUAUUCAAUUGUGUUAUAUUCUUGUUGUUCAUAAUAAUGUGUAUUUCUAAACUAUUAGCUUCACUAUUCACAUAUCUUGUAUUACUGUGUAAAAAGAUAUAUUAAUGAUCUUUGCCAAUGACUUGUUGGAUUAUAUGACAUGUGGACUAUGAGAGGAAAUAUAAGAAAUGCCAUGUGGGAAGAGAUGCCAUGUGGGGAGAGAUAA
rnacentral:lncRNA from 1 species